rnacentral:misc_RNA from 1 species
CAGAGUUAGCCAAACUCCCAACCCAUGUGAACUUAUCUCUUGUUGCCUUCGGCGGGCAGGCUACCGCGGACCUCGCGCCACCCCUCGGGGCGGCCCGCCGGCGGACAGUCCAAAACUCUUUAGCACAUUAGUUGAUUAUCUGAGUAGUCUUAUUAAAUAAGUCA